rnacentral:rRNA from 1 species
UCAUACAAGAAACCCAAAUUAACCGUACACCGGCGUAAAGCGUGAUACUAUGCUAUCAUACCAACUAAGAUCAAAAUGCAACCAAGCUGUCAUAAGCACACGGUGCACCUAAAACCAACCUAAAGACGAUCUUAGCCCCCAACGAUUAAUUGACCAUCACGAAAGCUAGGGUACAAACUGGGAUUAGAUACCCCACUAUGCCUAGCCCUAAAUCUUGAUACUUUCCCUACUAAAGUAUUCGCCUGAGAACUACGAGCACAAACGCUUAAAACUCUAAGGACUUGGCGGUGCCCCAAACCCACCUAGAGGAGCCUGUUCUAUAAUCGAUAACCCACGAUACACCCGACCACUUCUUGCCAAGGCAGCCUACAUACCGCCGUCGCCAGCUCACCUUCCCUGAAAGAACAACAGUGAGCACAAUAGCCCCUCGCUAACAAGACAGGUCAAGGUAUAGCCCAUGGAGUGGAAGAAAUGGGCUACAUUUUCUAUAAUAGAAAACCACGGAAAGAGGCAUGAAACCACCUCUGGAAGGCGGAUUUAGCAGUAAAGAAGGAUUAUAAAGCCACCUUUAAACCGGCCCUGGGGCACGUACAUACCGCCCGUCACCCUCCUCAAAAAGCUUUAACUUACUAUACUUAAUGCCCCAAUCAGCUAAAGAUGAGGUAAGUCGUAACAAGGUAAGUGUACCGG